ensembl:lncRNA
CUGGUGGGCUGAGGGGAGGGAAGGAGGCAGUGGGCGGGGAUGGAGGUGAGGCUGGGUCACGCAGGGACCAGCCCUGUGGUGUUCAGCUUGGGACUCGCCCAAGGGUACUGAGGGCGACGAGGUCAUCACAGCUGUGUUUGAGCAGGUCCUUGGACUUCAGUGAAGAGAAGAAGAGCGGGUGAGGAGAGCGGGCAGUGCGGCAUCAGUCCGCACAGGCCACGGCGGAGCAGAGAGAAGGCCAUGGGGUCUCGAGUAACUGCUGGAAGUCGGGGCAAGGUCCUCUGCCCUCUGCCUUCAAGAUGAGUUUCCUCUCACGGCUGCCUCCAAGCUGAGCAGGUCUGUACACGGCUAACCCCCCGCCCCAACCCCAGGGUCUUUGUGUGGGUUUCUGGAGUUGCCGCCUGCCCAGCGCUUCCUCUGGGGUCCCUCUGCCUCCUUGCCGGCUGUCUGCUCCCUGUGCUUCGCGGGGUCCCCUUCCCCAGGCUCCCUCCCUCUCGGGGAACGCUGUCCUAUGCGUGUUCCAUGUCAGGAACGCUCGUUUCACAGUUUGCCUGCUUUUCAAGUCGUUUAUGACCAUGUGCCAUCUGGGCCCUGCCACGCUCUCAUGGCUGGAAGCAGAUGUCCCACCCCUGUUUGAAGACAAAGAUUUUGGUCCAGCGAAAACAUAGGCACGCGGUCAAAGGUUCUGGUUACGUGAAAACGUUCGUUCUCACUGAUGGACAGAAGACGAAGUGCAUUCCCAGGGUGAAGGUGAGCGCUGGCUGCUUCGUCCUUGGCAGAAUCCCAGUGAGGAUUCCAAGGGCCAGGGAGACUCGCACGUCAGGAACUAGAGCGGUGCGCGUGACUUCAGGGGGGUGUCCCUGUGUGACGGGUCCGGCGAAUGUGCUGUGGUGCGGGACCGUUACACUGGAGACGCGUUUGUGAACCAAUAUGUUUAAGUCUCUUUGCUUUAUGGGAAAGUUCGAUGGGUUUAUCUUUAAGAGGUCCUAUGAUAUUGGGGUGAGAGGGGCCAAAUUCAUGUUGACUUUUUUUUCUUUUUAUGGUCACACCGGCAGCACAUGGAAGCUGCCGGGCUACGGGUUGAAUCAGAGCUGCAGCUGUGACCUACACCACAGGCACGAAACGCUGGAUCCUUAACCCACUGAGUGAGGAGAUGGGUCAGACCUGUAUCCUCACAGAGACAGCGUCAGGUCCUUAACCCUCUGAACCACGUCGGGAACUCCCAGGUGUAGUUGACUUUUGAUAGUUAACCCUUAAAACCCAAACAGGAUGGAGCAGGUCAGAGAUGGUGCCGACACAGAAGAGCUCCCAAAGAAGCCACUGCCUCUGCUGCCCCCAACCUGCUCACAGGGCUGGUGGUUCCUACGUCCCCAUGUCCCCAGCUUUGUGGGCUGGUCCCCAGCAGCCCUCCAGGGUCCCCUCUGCCUUCCUGAUGAACUUUGAAUCUGGUUUUCACA